UCCAGAUCAUCACUUCUCUGAUGGUUAGAAGUAUAGUUAUGCAGAUUAAUUUACAUUUAUUUUGUUUUGAUAUCUUGUGUGUAGGUAACAAUGAUCUGUAUAUAUGUGUGUAUAUAUAUAUUUAUGAUAUAUUGGAUAUAUUUAAUAAAUAUGCACUCUGGAUAGGGUUUGUUUUGUUUUUUCAGACUCCGCUUUUGAAACAGGCUCACUGCUUCUUGGUCACUCUCAUCUUUUCAUUGCACUUAUUCCCAUUAAUACUUUCAUUCUUAAUAAGCCUAACAAGUACCAUGUGCAAAAGCAUUGUUCCUUCCCUAUGUCUUCUGGAAAAUCCUGGGUGAUUUAAAUUUUAGGACUGUGUUUAAGCUUCUCUACCAAAAUCAAAUUGAUGACUCUUGAUCAUCUUUUGAUUAGUUAUUAUUCCAAUGUCCUUCUCCUCUGUCAACUUUCAAUUUAUAACCUUUUGGUUUAUGGCAGAAAUUAUUUCCCAAUGAAUGACUUUACCAUUUUUACUUUUCAAUUUUCUUUUUUAUUUUGUUUUAUUUUUUAAUUUGUUUUCUUUUUUCUCUCUGGAACUGCUCUGAGUUGUUAUGAAGGAGAAGUUGGUGUACGUGUCAGAGUAAACAUAAUAAAUAAAAAACAAUUCUUGGCCAUAAAAUGUGUUCUAGGAAUCCUGCUAGUAUUCAUGGGAAUGGUGAGUAGUUUUAAUUUUAUUUGAGUGCAUGUAGUAUUACACAGAACAGCAAUCUUUUUGUUCAAGACUGACAUGAGGGAUUGCAGUUUGUUUCACGUGUACCUUUUACUAUACAUGUUUUUAAAUCUUGAAAUGUAUUAAUUAAAUUAAUUAAUUUAAAAAAUUAAUAUUUGAUAUGUCAGUUAUAAUUUGGCAGGGUUUAUCACAAAAAACAAUAGAUGUUAUAUGUUUGUACAAGGCAAGCGAUGGCUUUAAGCUGAAACCUUGUGGCUUUCAACAUUAAAUGUAAGAUGGCUUGAGAGUGCCACACAAAUAACCUUUCAAAACAUCUCUUAUAAAUUGUCUAACAGAUGAUAAGUACAGGUUUUGAAAAGUGCAGGAGAGGAAUCCAGAUGGUGGGGUAGUGUAGGAAAGAUCAGUCACUCAUUUUGGUCAAACAAGGAAUAUGGACACGCAUCCCCCACCCUCAAAAAAAAAGUCUGGUGCUUAAUCUGCUUAUAGGGCAGGCUGAUAACUGGAAUGAUGAGGCUGGUAACAAAAGAAAUGUAAUGGGAAAAUGAUCUGCUCAACGUGUAAUUAAUACUAGCAUCUGUCACCAUUUAAUGAAUGCUACACUAAUCAGAAGAUUUUGUCAUGUUAGUAAAAUGUUCAGCUACUUACCCACAAAAAAGACUGGCAUGGUACAUUCACAAGGCUGCCAUGGUUCCGUGCAGUAUUCCACACAUGAUCUGCUCACAGAACAGCCAGGAUAACUGAACUCUGUCAAAUACACAACUGCAGAAUUGUGUGUUUGGCCAGAGAUCAGAAACUUGGUUCUCUGAAAGAUACACACAGGACAUGUAGGUGAGCAAACAGCGUAAGUAACCAGGCAAACAGUUCUGAUGAAUGUUCUUGUUCUUUACCCCUCAUUGCUCCUAUUGUUUAGUGUUCGCCUCUACGUCUUCAAUCAGUUUCUGAUUAAAUCAAUACAUUCUAAGCACAGCCCAUUAUUUUGGAUACUGAAUACUACAGUAUUUUCUUAAAAGAUCCUAUAAUUAGUUGUUUCAAUUUUAAAAAUACAGGGUUUUUUCUGGCUUUUUUAGUUGUAAGUAAAAAUUCUGAAACUACUGCACUUAAAUCUUUAAGAACCUUUUUCUUUAAAAAAUCCUUUUUCAAUAAACAGCCUAAUUCUGUAACUCAUCUCUUUAAGUCCUGCACUACAAAAACCCAAACAAACAAAAAAACACCACUACACCACUAAACCGAACAAAAAUUAAAGAAAACAAAACAAAAUACCCUAACAACUUCUCAUUUUCAAUAGAAUUUCCAUUUUAGUAGACAUUAAUAAAUGAUCCUUGUAAUGGUGGGCUGGCUGAUUUUUAGUUGUGAGAAUCUUAAUGAUUUAUUAAACCUGCAAGAAUAACUACUCAAUUUGGGAAAAAAAGUACUCUACAGUUAACUGUUAGUUAUAUCUUGGGCUUGUUUCUAAGUCUUUAUGAUGACAUUUGAUAUGUAACCUAUUUGACUGACAGCAGAUGCCAUUUGAAGUGCUUAAACCAGAUGGAAGGGGGGGAUGGAAAUUAACAGAUGUUCUAAUAGUAAUUGAGCUGAAAUUAAUUUCAUGUUACACAGAACAAUUUUUGGAAAGAUAAGUCUUAUUUUAAGUACAAAUCUGUGGGAGAUCUACCUUUUUCAAAAUUCUACUAUUUUAUUUCCAUUUGAAACCUGAGGGAUGCCAUGCCAGUUGCUACCUAGCCAGAUUCUAUCCCAGUCUCUGACUUUUCAAACAGAGAUUUGUGUUCUUAGCAAACAAAAGGAGCACAGAAAUUUCUCAAGAGGGAGGUUUAAAAAAAAAUAAAUUAUGAGCUGUUUAUAUGGAGGACUCCAACUACAUAAAAUAGGAACUUGUUGUUGUUGUUGUUGUAAAGUAGAAAUAUUUCAAGUAUUGUUUGUUGAGACCAGGAGAAGGCAGCCAUUUUGUCCCAGCUCAGGAAAUGCUCUGCUAUGCUGACAAGGUGUAUUUCCAAAAGACUCCAACAUUUUUUGUGGUAGUGGUAUCGCCAAAUAUUAAGCAGUUAUUAUCAAGAGAAUGUUUGUUAAGCCAAAAAUACAUAGGGAAAUCACCUUUGUUUUUUCUGUCUCUAAUUCAGAUGUCAAAGUACACAGUAGAGCUGAUUGGAAAAUGGAGAUAGUUUCUCUGGAGAAAUAAUGCUGCACUGGAAAAACAUGAAUAUUGUUGUCAGGUGUUUCUGUCCAAAGCUAAAAUAAGUUUAUUUAGCAGUGUUGUGAUGUGUUAUGUCUUGGAUGCCUGAUGGGACCCCUCACUUAUUCCAUUAUAUGCCACCUCUGCGUGUAUGCAGUUGCUAGGUCUUAUCUAUAAGGUUUUGGGGAAGACUUAGGAAUUCUUUGGUCAUGCUGCAAUAUUGAAGAUGUUUUACAGCACAAGAACUAACAUAAGAAAAUUUGGGCCUUUAACAAUUGAAAUGGAAUUUGUGAUGUGUUUGUGAUGUGAUGUCAAUGCUGGAAUUUCAGGGCUUUUGUUACUGGUGAAGCAAGAUUUCCCUACAGAAGGAAUUACAUAUAGCAAUGUUAGUGGUGGGUUUUUACCUUCCCAGAAGACUCAGUUCUCUUUUUUGGAGGGUGGUUGUUUUGGCUUUUUUUUCCCCACAAACCUUACCAAAUGUUUAACCCUGUGAAACAUUCAUUUAUUGAUUAUGAAAUUAGAUAUAUAACUGAUAUGGAGUGAUUAUUACUCAUGAAGUUAUGUUCUUAGCCUGUGAAAAUGCAGUGCUGUUGUGUGGGCUUAUAAAAUUCUUUUUCAGUAGUGGUUGAGCUGUUAUUGAAGAUGCAUUGGGAUAUUCUUAUGGCAGUUUCAAUUAAGGUGUCUUAAAGAUACUAAAGUAAUCUUAGUUAAUUCACUGUUAAUCUGGUUUUACUAUAUCACUGAGAGCCUAGAGAUGUAUUUUUUUUACUUUUGUCUCAGCUGGGUUUUGUCUACUUAUAAUUUGUCUUUAAUAUACAGACAGCAGGAUCUCACAGAAUUGCAAUGUUUAAGCUCACAUUUUAAGUUUUAGGUAUGGUUUUAAUAUUUGUGGCUUUCUUUAAAAGUGUCAUACUUGAUCUAGUCCUACCUGACAAGGAUGAUUUUAGGGUUAUGAAGGUAUAAUAAUUUCUCAAGGUAAACAAUCACAAUUUCUUUCUGCUUAAUAAUGUAAACAUUUCUUGCUGUAACCAAGUCAUGUUCAUAUGUUCCUUACUGCCAGUGCUUGUUCUUUAGAAACAAAGAAAGAUUUUUUUAUAUUUUUCACUUGCCUUACUUAGGAAGUAAAUCCUUAUCAAUCUUGUUCUCUGUCUUGGGAUACCUCAGGAAUAAUUCUACUUUGAUGUUACAAAAGCUGUGGUAGGCAUCAUCUUAUGGAAUCAUCAUCUUAUUUGAGUAAGUUCUCCAGGGAGGUGCUGGAAUCACUGUCUCUGGAAGUGUUCAAGAGGUGUCUGGAUGUGACACUUGGAGAAUGAUUUAAGGAUGAUUAUGGUGGUGCUGGGUUGAUGGUUGGACUGGAUGAUCUUGAAGGUCCAGCCUUGGUGAUUCUGUGAUUCCAUGAUUAUUUACACCAGUGGAGGAGAUCUGCUUUCCCAAAAAGUAUAUGAAUCUUGGGAAAGAGGUUUGGUGGUAGGGGGAGGGUACAACUAUUUAUCUCUUUUCAAGAAUAAACUUGAGUGUAUCUUCACUCAGAGUCUCAGAUAAGACCAA